rnacentral:rRNA from 1 species
GACGAACCGUGCGAACGUUGUUCGGAAUCACUGGGCUUAAAGGGCGCGUAGGCGGACAAUCAAGUCAGGGGUGAAAUCCCGACGGCUCAACCGUGGAAGUGCCUUUGAUACUGACUGUCUCGAGGGAGGUAGGGGCGUGCGGAACUUCCGGUGGAGCGGUGAAAUGCGUAGAUAUCGGAAGGAACGCCGGUGGCGAAAGCGGCGCGCUGGACCUCUCUGACGCUGAGG